AUGGCCGCCCUCAGACCCCUCGUGAAGCCCAAGAUCGUCAAAAAGAGAACCAAGGAGUUCAUCUGGCACCAGUCAGACCAACAUGUCAAAAUUAAGUGUAACUGGAGGAAACCCAGAGGUAUUGACAAUAGGGUUUGCAGAAGGUUCAAGGACCAGAUACGCGCCUGCAAGGGCCAGAUCUUGAUGCCCAACACUGGUCAUGGGAGCAACAAAAAACAAAGCACAUGCUGCCCAGUGGCUUCCGGAAGUUCCUGGUCCCCAGCGUCAAGGAGCUGGAAGUGCUGAUGUGCAACAAAUCUCCCUGUGCUGAGAUCGCUCACAGUGUUUCCUCCAAGAAACAAAACCAUCGUGGAAAGGGCCGCCCAGCUGCCGUCAGAGUCACCAACCCCAAUGCCAGGCUGCGCAGUGAAGAAAAUGA
rnacentral:lncRNA from 1 species